rnacentral:lncRNA from 1 species
CAUAACUGAAUUAGUGAAAUUUGCCAUCCUGAUUAGCUAUUUUCCACUUGUUACUUUAGAAUUAUCAAGGCCUUGGAGAGGAGAAGGAAGAAGAAAGGCACAAAUGCUUCAGAUUGCUAUCCUUUGACACUAAGGAAAUGAAUUAGUAAAUAGAGAUGAUGAGCUCUUGGACAGAAUAAAAGAUCAUGGUUGCUUUCAAAAGAAAUGUCAGAUUGCUAAACUUCAAAAACAAGACCAGAAAAAUGGGUGAGGAUAGAAGUAGGAAGACAUAUGGCAAGUAGUGAACAGAGACAUUAUAAUAUAAGGUAAGGAUUUGAAAAAUGAAACAAAUUUGGACUUAUUUCUUGUGAAAAAUAAUGAAAGAAGUUAUUUUUAUUAACAAGGCAAGGGAC